UUCUUAUCCAGAGAGGUGGAGGGACUGGCCCUUUGAAGCUUCAGCAACAGGUCAAUUAUAGACACUGUGCUAAUUCCAGCGGGUGAUUUAGCCUGAUAGAUAGGAC
rnacentral:ncRNA from 2 species